AUGGGACAAUUCUGCCUUCCAGGAGUGUUGUGUACCUGUCCUAUUGAUGGGUGGGUGUUAAUAAAAGUAAUCAGAGGUGGAUCUGGUGUUUGGUUUGGCUGUCCAGGGCCUUUCAAAACAUUUCAAAUUUGGUGGACUGGGAAAAAGCUUCAGAUGUUGAAUAUGCCAGCUAAUUAUUGCUUGAAUUUCAGAGGGAGUAUACAAAAGCAGAAUCCAAAAUUAACUUUGGAUAAUUUGAAUUUUUGUAUAAUUUUGUUCGUUAUAUAUACAUGUAUGUGUGUGUGUUGCUGUUUUUCAUUUAAAGAACAUAGUAAAUAACAUUUCAUAUAAAUCAAGCACAAGUAACGCCAAAUAUUUAAAUAAUAAUAAUACAAAAAAAAAAAAAAAAAAACAUUCACAAGACGCCAAAUGCAGAUUUAUUGUAUUUUACAAAAUGCUAGAUUUAUAAUGUAGCUACAUCGAUUCGUUCAAACACUGAUUCAAUCGGGAAUGAAACCAAUGAGGUGCUUUGCGAGUGAAUCACUGAAUCAUUGACUCAACCGAUUCGUUCACAUACACUGAUUCACCCGGGAACCAAACACCAGCGCACUGGCUUUGUUUGGAAUUAUUUUUCUUGGCGGAGCAAAUUUCCAAAAACUAACUGAAACAUUGUGUCAAACAUGUAAGUUACUCUAUAUUAUUUGUUUAUUGCGUUGCUGUAUAAAACAUGGCAUAGUGAUUGCUUCGGUGAUAUUACAAUUGAUAUUUUUUAAGGAGACAUAGCAAUCAUUACUCAAUAUGAAUCUCAUUAAUUUCCUCAGGUAACUUUGGUAUUGUAAAAAUGCCCCAGUAUUUAAUGAUGCAUUCAGUGUAAUGUGUAACUUGCUAGUUUGUAUCAUUGUGCAUGUAGCGGGGCAGUUAGUUUUAGUCUUUAGUCUGCUCUAAUUGAGGUCACUGAUGGAGUGUAUGGGCUCUCUGGCCCUGACACGUGCAAUAGAUGCUUACUCCUGCUUGCCCCGGCCUCUCAGCGCUUUUCUGCCUCUUAUGGGAAUUAAAAACUGCUGGCCUGAGGAAGAGCCAGAGCCAGUCGUGUCAGAGUGGAGAGGACUGUAAGACUGCCUUCAGCUGCUGCACUCCAGCAGGGCCACAGCUGGGCAACCUGGGCCAUUGUGUCGAAGUCAGAACAGGCAGAGAGCAGAUUGUUAUAGCGCCCGAUAGUCAUUUAUUAUGUUAGGCUGAGGAGUCAGCCGUUGUCUUUGGAGUGUUUUCAGUUUUCAUGUGGCCUAGCAAGGAGUUCUUAAUUUAUAAGACCUAGAUUCUAUUUUUCCAAUUGUGCCACAGAUAUAUCAAUAAGAAGAAAUAGGGCAACGAUUUUCAAAAGGCCUUAAGUUUAUUUUCAGACAACGGGCAGCAUAGUGGCAUCGAAUUAAUCAAGUCUGAGGCGCCCUUUUAUAAAUCAUAUCAUAUCUCUAUCCUGUUGGAAACUUGAACUUAGUAACUUUAGCCCAAACUGUGCUCAAUACUCAACAGUCAGUUUAGUCCCUUUAAAAGCAGGUACAUUACAAAAGUCCACAGCGUUUAAUUGCGCUUAUGUGUAUGAAAAAGAUCCAUCAUGCUGAUGACUAGUAUGAAAGGAAAAAAAAAAUAGGAGUGGCUAUUUUUCUCUCUAAUGUAAAACAUCUGGCAGGAUUCAGCGCUUGCAAAAUUAAUGGGCAUUUAAUUGCCAAUAAUCAUUUUUUACCUCAACGAUAUGAAGUAAAUAGUUUUUCUGGAAGAACCAGAUGUUUCAAAUAAGCUGCUGUGAGCUUAACUCUUUGUUUUCUUUUUUAUAAGGUAUCACAGUACAUGUAGCAUAUGUUCUUAUUGUGUUUACUUGGAUAGUGCUUCUGUAUUGCUUUUGUGACGGUUGUAUAUGCAUAUUUGCCAACUAUUUCUACCAUAAAAAAUUAUUGUCAGAUAUUAAAUGUUUAUCUACUUACAUCUUUCCUCAACAUCUUUCAUCAUUAACACCAUAGCUUUGUUCUGGAAUUCACGCUUGGAUUCUGUGAACAGAAAAAAGGUGGACACUUCUUCGAUUUGAUUGACCAUCCCUAUCAUUUUAAAAAAAAUAUAAGCACUGUUAUACUGCUAAGGCUGUCUACUACAAAAAUUUAAUAUUUUAAACUUUUUUCAUCAUAACAACAGACAUAUUGUUGCUUAACGGAGCAGAGUAACAUAACAUCAAGUAUCAAAUAUUGCAAUACAUCCAACCAAAUAAUCCAUUAGUAACUGGAUAGAAUAGAUGGUCCAUUUGCCAUCAUAGGAACACCUCCAUGUAAAGUUGAAAACUCUGCAAUUAACAUGUUUGAACUUGAUCCAAAUGAAAUUUUUUAACAGAUUGAAAGGGAUGGUGUAGACCUGAAAUAAUCCAAUCAAUAGGAUAAAUUAAGCUUGUAAAAAUACUCAAAUUUGACUAUUUUCAAAAAUACCCUGUGCACGUCUUAACGUACAGGGCUGGGUACUAAUUGAUUACAUGUAAUUUACAUGUUUAGAUUAAAAUGGAAAUAAUCAUACUACAGUUACUUUGUAUAGAUUACAUGAUUACAUAUUAUAAUAUGUCAUUAUUCUGUCAUGUUAUGAUUUGCGUUGAUUUGCAUCAACUCACAAACCACUGCAGUUCACUCAUGAACCCCAGUUUGGGAAACUUUGACAUAGUGUAAUGUUUAAUACACUUUAUGAUUUUGAUAACAAAGAAUUAGUGGUUCAACGGAUCACAAAUCUCACGGUUCGGAUCACAUUACAGUUUAUGACCCACAGAUCGGAUCAUUUUUCGGAUCAGCAAGAAAAGAAAAAUAUUUCAAUUUAACUUGCUUUCCAUUUAUUACUUAAAGCGAAGUACUUCUUUGAUCCCAUAGCAAAUACUACUAGAUUAACUAAGAAAGUUUGAACAUGAUUAAUGAGUCAAGAGAACAGCCAGUAAAAAUAAGAACAAAUACACAAAUUACAAGCAUAGAUAAAUACAACACAAUUUGUUACAAAUAAAAUAAAGUUGGUAGUAUUCAAAGGCAGAAAUGUAAUAAAUACGGAAAAUAACACUGCAGAGUGUUCAAUGUAUAAAUUAAAUACAGAUUUUUAUCACAGCUGUUUUGUUGUUUGAUGAUUAUUAAUGACAGCAGCAUUAUUUAUAGGCCGCUGUCCCUUUAAGACCUGAUGCACGGAUCUGAUAUUACGGCUGCGUUUACACUUGGCAUUAACAUGCGACCUGUAUCCGGAUGUUGUCCACAUACACAUUGAAAAGACAAGUGUAAACGCACUUCUGAUUGGAAUGUUAUCCGAUCAGCGUGUCCUGGUCCAGAGGUAGUCGAGGACACAUUGUGAUUGGAUCUCAGUGUGAUGUAAACGCAAUCCAGCCAUUGUGUCUGCAUUUGCAGGUGCAUGUCACGUAAAAUGCCGCCGCACAUUACAAACUACAAUUUCCAACAUGUCAUUUUUAUCAAUAAUAGACUGCAGUAAGUAAUCUAAUAAGUGAUCUAGCCCGCACUGGUUAUAUAAACAGAACUUUUAAACUCUGAAAUUGGAUUGCAAUUAUGUCGAUUGAUGAAAAUUAAAAAAAAAAAAAAAUGUUUAUUGUGGUUAUAGCUCUGCUUCAUGAUCUAACAUGGCAUUUCCAAUAGCUUCAGUCCACAUUUCCAACUUCAGGCCUGAGGUGUCUUGUCCUUAACUGGCUGUUCUGAUCUUCUGCUAAUAGUUUAUAAUGUCAACGCUUUGCCCAAAGACAAUACCGUAAGACUAAAAGUUGAUGCCCCCACCCAGUGAGAGCAUUUUUUCUCCUCUAACUGAACGGGUUUGGUGCCAAACAGAAGAAAGAGAACAAAUCAAAUCCCUCGUUUGAUUACGGUUCACCCAAAGCCAGCCUGACACAAACUCCAUACUGGAGUGAUCAUUUGCAUGAGUUCGUUUGAAUGGCAAAAACCUUCUCUUCCCUCUGAUCCAUCCUCUUUUGCCUGAGCUCUUGAUUAAACUGACUUUGAAAUGUGAAAAUUGUGUGGGCCGCACUAGAACAAUGUCAGAUAGGCCUUGUGGAGGGGUGGAAUGGAUUUAAAGCCAUUGUUCAACCUGACUCUUUUCUCCUGCAUUAAAGACAGGGUUGCGGAGGUUUGUGACAGUCAGACGCCUGCAUGCUUAUCUUCCCCGCAGUAGUGUUUUAAUCUGUUGGGUUAGCGCAUGCCUGUAAACAAAUUUGUCAGUCACACAAUAGCACUGCCACCUUUAGUUCUCAGCGGAUUACGUCGCUUUUAAACAGUCUCAAAAUGAACACCUCCUGCUGCGCACAUCUCCACAAAAGAUUCGAUUAAAUAUCUGUGGAUAAAUAAUUUGUGGAUAUAUAGCGGCUUUUAUCCUAUGUGAUAUUAGCAUGCAAAAGGCGUGUUUGCACACCUUUAGAGGGAAGUCUUUUAUGUGUUAUUGUAAAGGGUUGUAAUUCUUUUGAUAUGGAAUUUAAACAGUAUUUUACACUAAUCCCGAGUUUGGGCUUGGGAAAGCUUUUCACGUAGGUGGUUUUCAAUUAGUUUCACUUAACCUUGUAAAUAUUAUCACAACAUUAAAGGACUAGGCAAGCUUUUGUGGAGAAUGUGGUUUGAUCUCUGCCCCGUUUCAUCUCGGUAUUUACUAAAAUAACGGCAAGGAAAUUUAGGGGGAUGUACAAAUUAUCAAGGGUGGUUAUUUCUCAUUACACAGAUGCUUAAGGGAUUUAAUCAGUGUUUAUGUAGUGUAACUCUUGUGUUGACUGCUAAAUUACACACCAGUUUAUGGGACCAUUUUUAAAUCACAAAUACUAAGAAAACUAAAUUACUUGAAACUACAUAAAAACCUGUUAUUCCAACAGAAUUUACCCAAAUAUUGUCCCAACUAGUCAUACAAAUUAGUUGUUUGUGCAUUUUCAAAUUAAACAAUAUUGCAGAAAUAUAAAGGAUUUGAGUUCCCAGAAUGCAUUGCAGCAUUAAUAAAUUAUACAGUAACAUUAUAGGAAUAUAUAUGUAUGUAUGUAUGUAUGUAUGUCUCUCUCUCUCUCUCUCUCUCUCUCUCUCUCUCUCUCUCUAUAUAUAUAUAUAUAUAUAUAUAUAUUUAUAAUUUUUUUAAUUAAAUUGCUUUGUAAAUUAUAUUUUAAAAUAUCAUUGCUUUGUACGCCUUCAGAUAACA
ensembl:lncRNA